rnacentral:rRNA from 1 species
CAGUCGCCGCGGUAAUACGUAGGGUGCGAGCGUUAAUCGGAAUUACUGGGCGUAAAGCCUGCGCAGGCGGUUGUGUAAGACAGGUGUGAAAUCCCCGGGCUUAACCUGGGAACUGCGCUUGUGACUGCACAGCUAGAGUAUGGCAGAGGGGGGUGGAAUUCCACGUGUAGCAGUGAAAUGCGUAGAGAUGUGGAGGAACACCGGUGGCGAAGGCAGCCCCCUGGGCCAAUACUGACGCUCAUGCACGAAAGCGUGGGGAGCAAACAGGAUUAGAUACCCGGGUAGUCCCUGUCUCUUAUAC